rnacentral:rRNA from 1 species
AGUGAACGUUGGCGGCGUGGAUUAGGCAUGCAAGUCGAGCGAGAACCGUAGCAAUACGGGGACAGCGGCGAAAGGGACAGUAAUGUGUAGGUACCUACCUCCGGGUUCGGGAUAGCUGCGGGAAACUGCAGGUAAUACCGAAUAACGUCUCCGGACCAAAGGUGUGAUUCCACCUGGAGAGGGGCCUGCAUCCUAUUAGCUUGUUGGCGGGGUAACGGCCCACCAAGGCGACGAUGGGUAGCGGGUGUGAGAGCACGACCCGCGUCAUUGGGACUGAGACACUGCCCAGGCACCUACGGGUGGCUGCAGUCGGGAAUCUUCGGCCAUAGGCGCAAGCCUGACCGAGCGACGCCGCGUGCGGGAUGAAGGCCUUCGGGUUGUAAACCGCUGUCGUAGAGGAGGAAAUGCAGGGGGGUUCUCCCCUCUGUUUGACCUAUUCUAGGAGGAAGUACGGGCUAAGUUCGUGCCAGCCGCCGCGGUAA